CAUGUACUCCCUUCGUCCGAAAAUACUUGUCAUUGAAAUGGAUGUAUCUGGAUGUAUUUUAGUUCUAGACACAUCCAUUUUGAUGACAAGUAAUUCCGGACGGAGGGAGUACUUG
rnacentral:pre_miRNA from 1 species